rnacentral:rRNA from 1 species
AUUGAACGCUGGCGGCAUGCUUUACACAUGCAAGUCGAACGGUAACAGGCCUUCGGGUGCUGACGAGUGGCGAACGGGUGGGUAAUGCAUCGGAACGUACCCAGAGGUGGGGGAUAACGCAGCGAAAGCUGUGCUAAUACCGCAUGUGAUCUGAGGAUGAAAGCGGGGGACCGAGCAGCAAUGUUUGGCCUCGCGCCUUUGGAGCGGCCGAUGUCGGAUUAGCUAGUUGGUGGGGUAAAGGCCUACCAAGGCGACGAUCCGUAGCUGGUCUGAGAGGACGACCAGCCACACUGGGACUGAGACACGGCCCAGACUCCUACGGGAGGCAGCAAUGGGGAAUUUUGGACAAUGGGCGCAAGCCUGAUCCAGCAAUGCCGCGUGCGGGAAGAAGGCCUUCGGGUUGUAAACCGCUUUUGGCAGGAACGAAACGGUGUCCGCUAAUACCGGGCGAUAAUGACGGUACCUGCAGAAUAAGCACCGGCUAACUACGUG